rnacentral:rRNA from 1 species
UACAGAGGGGGCAAGCGUUGUUCGGAAUUACUGGGCGUAAAGGGCGCGUAGGUGGCCUUCUAAGUCGAACGUGAAAUCCCUGGGCUCAACCCAGGAACUGCGUCCGAGACUGGGAGGCUUGAAUCCGGGAGAGGGAUGCGGAAUUCCAGGUGUAGCGGUGAAAUGCGUAGAUAUCUGGAGGAACACCGGUGGCGAAAGCGGCUCACUGGACCGUCUCUGACGCUGAGGUGCGAAAGCUAGGGUAGCAAACGGG